rnacentral:pre_miRNA from 1 species
GAGUCUUGCAUGAAGAGAUGGAGAGUAGAUAUGAGCCAAGGAUGACUUGCCAAAGCAUAUGGCCUUUCCACUUGUUAAUCUUCUGGCAAGCUGUCCUUGGUUCACGUUUGCUCUCUUUUCUCUCAUGUGAGAUUC